ACUGAAAAUCUUCGGAAUUGUAGUCUGGAGAAGUAUGGUCAGCCGAUGAUAAUGGGUGAAGUCUUCUGGAAAGGAGCGCCAAGGAGGGUGAUAGCCCCGUUCAAGCCUAUUAUCAGAAGCGUACGACCUGCUUUCUACGAGUCGUGUUGUUUGGGACUGCAGCACUAAGUGGGUGGUAAAUUCCAUCUAAAGCUAAAUAUUGGUGGGAGACCGAUAGCGAACAAGUACCGUGAGGGAAAGAUGCAAAGAACUUUGAAAAGAGAGUUAAAUAGUACCUGAAAUUGCUGAAAUGGAACCGUUGGGAGGCAGUGUCGGUGGCGGGUACUUGUACUCGUCACAAGCCAGGCUUCYUUUCUGGUGCGGGAAAGGCUGACGGACCAGUUUGGGCCGUCUUUGCCGCCGUGCUGGGGAAGGACUCUGACGAAAUGCCUCUCAACACCCCGUCUUGAAACACGGACCAAGGAGUCUAACAUGUGUGCGAGUGCUCGGGGUCAACCCCCCAGCGCGAAAUAAACGUAAAGGUGAAUUUAUUCACUUAGGUAGGAUCCUUAGGUGCACUAUCGACCGACCAUGAUCCCCCGGGAGAAAGGUUUGAGUGUGAGCAUACAUGUUGGGACCCGAAAGAUGGUGAACUAUGCUUGAGUAGGGCGAAGCCAGGGGAAACUCUGGUGGAGGUCCGCAGCGAUUCU
rnacentral:rRNA from 1 species